rnacentral:tRNA from 1 species
GUGAAGCUCAGUGGUAGAGCACUUGCCUAUCAGACAUGAAGCCCUGGGUUCCAUCCCCAGCAC